UGGGGAAUAUUGGACAAUGGGCGCAAGCCUGAUCCAGCCAUGCCGCGUGAGUGACGAAGGCCUUAGGGUUGUAAAGCUCUUUUGGCGGGGAAGAUAAUGACGGUACCCGCAGAAUAAGCUCCGGCUAACUUCGUGCCAGCAGCCGCGGUAAUACGAAGGGAGCUAGCGUUGUUCGGAAUCACUGGGCGUAAAGCGCACGUAGGUGGGCAGUUAAGUCAGGGGUGAAAGCCCGAGGCUCAACCUCGGAAUUGCCUCUGAUACUGGCUGUCUAGAGUUCGAGAGAGGUGAGUGGAAUUCCUAGUGUAGAGGUGAGAUUCGUAGAUAUUAGGAAGAACACCGGCGGCGAAGGCGGCUCACUGGCUCGAUACUGACACUGAGGUGCGAAAGCGUGGGGAGCAAACAGGAUUAGAUACCCAAGUAGUCCCUGAGCGGGCUGGCAAGGCGCAU
rnacentral:rRNA from 1 species